rnacentral:rRNA from 1 species
UACGUAGGUGGCAAGCGUUAUCCGGAUUUAUUGGGCGUAAAGGGAACGCAGGCGGUCUUUUAAGUCUGAUGUGAAAGCCUUCGGCUUAACCGGAGUAGUGCAUUAGAAACUGGGAGACUUGAGUGCAGAAGAGGAGAGUGGAACUCCAUGUGUAGCGGUGAAAUGCGUAGAUAUAUGGAAGAACACCAGUGGCGAAAGCGGCUCUCUGGUCUGUAACUGACGCUGAGGUUCGAAAGCGUGGGUAGCAAACAGG